AGGGGUGGAGAAAGUGUGUGUGUAGGAGAGGAGUCCAGCAGAGAGAGCUGCUUUUUCACGAAACGGGAGUAAAGUAGUGAACUUACAGGAACAUAUACCACUACCAACGUUUUGAUCGAUAUCUGGAUCGAUCUGCACACCCUUGUCUCCUGGAUUGUAGCUGAGAUCAGCGUGAACCACGUGGGUCUCUGCUCCCUGAUCUGUUUCCUGUGUUUGGAAAGACUUCCAGCUUCAUCGCGGAGUUUCUCUCGGUUUGUGGGCUCAACUAAAGAACAGUUCUCCACAGUCGCUGUCCACAUGGGUCAGUGGGACCAAGCAGCACUCUGCUAAUGUGUGGACUCUGACCAGCAACAUCCAGCAAGACCCAGGCAGCGUUUUCUAUCUCCCAGCUGGAGUUUUUUGUUUGUCUGUGACUGGAGAGUCAGGUUUUUGUUGAGCUUCACACUUGCAGAGGUUAAUACACUCUACUGAUCCCUGAUGGGAGAAUCAUCAAUUUUGCCAACAAAGAAGCCUGGUUGAUGUUUGUUUACAGUCUGAUGAUGGGACAUCAUACUCUGCAUCUUCAAAGUUUGCCUCCUCAUUAUUAUUCAUACCCAGUAAUGUGAAGUAUGCUUAUAUCUACUAUAACUGAACCAACCUGGUGCUCUUCAUUUAUGGAGGCUUUUGAGUCUGAAUGUUGGAUGUUGUGUAUCUCAUGUUCUCUGGGCUUUGUUGUCCUCAGUCUUUUUGCAGGAUCAGAAAACAAAACCAGGAGGCCUGUAAAUGUUUCUUCUAAAUGAUGUUUCUUCAAAUGUUUCUUCUGGACGAUGAUAAGACCGUGACAUGGGAUGUCACCUUUGGUCUUGUGAUGAAGCAAAGCUCAGGAAGAAGUGUGAUUAAAUGGUACCCACAUGUGUGCUGCUGAGAAGGAUGUACAGGAGCACCUGCAGCCAAAUCCAAGCCUCCUCAGAGCAGAGCAGCUGUUUGUGCUCACAGAUGGUGACGGUGUGGAGAGACGGUGGUGUUUCCUCAGAAGAACUAGCAGAGUCACCAAGGGCACGAGUCCAUCUCACCACCUUGACUUGCUGACUGAUGCUCGUCUGCACUGCACAGAGGAAAUCAACUGACCAAGGUUUGUCCAGUGACGUGUUAUGAAAUGUAUAUUUGUUUUAUGCUUACAGAUUUGUUUUUCUUGACAGAGGCUCUGCAGAGGUUAGACAAAGCGCCUUGAGGCGACUUUUGUUGUGAUUUGGCGCUAUAUAAAUAAAAUUGAAUUGAAUUGAAUUGAAAUUGAAUUGAAAGCAGAGAAAAUAUGUGCUUUACAUUUUACUGUGAUUUACUGGGAUAUUUGUUGCCUGAUGUUCAGCAGGAAUGGAGGAAUAGAAUCAAAGGGAGAUGUUUUUGCUGUUUUUGUAAUGUGAGUAAAUCUUCUGUAUUAUUUAUUUGCUUGGUUAUUUUAGGAGUGUUUCUGGGUGAGGGGGAGAGGAGUCAUCAUCCAGGUAAAGUGACGUGGAUGAGUGGAUACACUUGUCUCCCCUUUAAAGGAGACGAUCCGAGUCAUCCUUAAAUAUGGGAAGGAUAUCAGUCUUGGACUGUCUAACCUGCAGGAGCAGCACUGAAUGACCACCACACAUGAGCAUGUUCCUGCAACAUUCAGCAGCUUUGCUUUUGUGUCAAAUGUCAAACAGCUGGAGAGGAAACUACACCAGUACUGGGAUGUUUCAACAACACGUGCCAGACGCUGUUCCUUCAUGGUGACAUCACCAGAGACAGCCCCGCCCACCUCAGGACCUCGCCAUUGAUCAUGAUGAUUUUAAUGAUGACAGCGAGCGGAACUAAGACUGUAAAAAUCCAUGACCAGAAUGUUUAGAUGCUUUCUAAUUAUUAAUGAAUACUGAGUUUUUGUCUCUCUCUCUUUUUUUUUUUACCUCAUUUGUUACUAACAAAGUUCACCAAACUCACAGUUUACAUUCUGUAUGUUUCCAUCAAGGUUUAUUUUCAUAGAAAUCAUCAUUUUUCUCCUUUUCUCUUUUUCUCUUUUGUAAUUGAUGAUAAUUCAGUGAAUAUACUGCGCUGCUUCCUUUUAUUGCGACACACAUUGGUUUAAGUUUUUCAGUGUCCAGUUAUUUUUUACUGCUGUUUGAAUUCUCUGUAUGUUUGACCCUGUAGACUGUUUGAUGGACUGCUUGUCUUCCUGUUUGUAACCGCCGCCUGUUUUUGACUAAAGAUUUGGAUUUCUGACUUUAACACAGCCUCUGCGUGUUCUCCCUUUGUGUCCUCUUCCUCUGUGAAUGUGUUGCAUGUGUCACAGAUUCAUUUUAUUAACAGCUUUCCCACAGUGAGUUGCAUCAGCAUUCAUUCACAGCACAUUUCAGAAGGAUUCAGAUUAAUACAGUGA